rnacentral:rRNA from 1 species
GGGGGGGGGGGGGGGGGGGGCGGGGGGGGGGGGGGCGGGGGGCGGGGCAGUGGGGGCUUGCUCUUACGGGUGGCGAGUGGCGGACGGGUGAGGAAGACAUCGGAAUCUACUUUUUCGUGGGGGAUAACGUAGGGAAACUUACGCUAAUACCGCAUACGACCUACGGGUGAAAGCAGGGGAUCUUCGGACCUUGCGCGAUUGAAUGAGCCGAUGUCGGAUUAGCUAGUUGGCGGGGUAAAGGCCCACCAAGGCGACGAUCCGUAGCUGGUCUGAGAGGAUGAACCGGCCCCCUUGAACCUGGGACACGGUCAAACCCCCUCGGGGAGGCAGCGUGGGGAAUAUUUGACCAAGGGCGGAAACCUGAUCCCGCCCUACCCGGUGGGGGAAGGAGGGCUUUCGGUUGUAAAGCCCUUUUGUUGGGAAAGAAAAGCAGCAGGUUAAUACCCCGCUGUUCUGACGGUACCCAAAGAAUAAGCACCGGCUAACUUCGUG